rnacentral:lncRNA from 1 species
UGUUUUAUAUAUUUUAUAGACAAAUGUAGUAAUAAAAAGGUCUUAGAAAAUAAAGGGUUUUCACUUUUUUAAUAGAUUCCUUUACAUAUAUUUUGUACAAAAGCCUCUGUAUGUGUGCUAUAGUGCUAGUGCUUCCCUUGUAAUUGUCUCACUGCUUUUAAACAUGUUUGCCAUAAUGAAAUAAGCAUUAUCUUGAUGUUAUCAUUUUCAUAGUUAGGGACCAUUUUCCUUUUUUGAAUUCCAUUAAGAAUCUAUUUUCUGCUACUGAGAAUAUGCCAAAGAAGGAGUCAUGUCAGAUUGACACUGCAGACUAGAAUUACUCUCCAGCUUCUAUUAUGUUAUGUUGUUAAUUGCCUUUUCAGGCACACUGGCAGUGCCCAGUGCUACUGGGAUUUCAUUGUUUACAAAGGUUAAGUGUAAUUUUAAUUAA